GAUGAACGCUGGCGGCGUGCCUAAUACAUGCAAGUCGAGCGAACAGACGAGGAGCUUGCUCCUCUGACGUUAGCGGCGGACGGGUGAGUAACACGUGGAUAACCUACCUAUAAGACUGGGAUAACUUCGGGAAACCGGAGCUAAUACCGGAUAAUAUGUUGAAUCGCAUGGUUCAACAGUGAAAGACGGUCUUGCUGUCACUUAUAGAUGGGUCCGCGCCGCAUUAGCUAGUUGGUAAGGUAACGGCUUACCAAGGCAACGAUGCGUAGCCGACCUGAGAGGGUGAUCGGCCACACUGGAACUGAGACACGGUCCAGACUCCUACGGGAGGCAGCAGUAGGGAAUCUUCCGCAAUGGGCGAAAGCCUGACGGAGCAACGCCGCGUGAGUGAAGAAGGUCUUCGGAUCGUAAAACUCUGUUAUUAGGGAAGAACAAAUGUGUAAGUAACUAUGCACGUCUUGACGGUACCUAAUCAGAAAGCCACGGCUAACUACGUG
rnacentral:rRNA from 1 species